UUCCAGAUGUCUGUGCCAUGCUAUGCCACCCGGAAGCCCAAGCGCCUAAAUUUUUUCAAGGAACCCAGUGCAAAAGAAGCGUGCCCGCUGAUGGCUGAGCAUUUCAGCAGAAAUGUACCUAAUAAAAGAACCUGGGAAUCAUCUGUAGGAUAUCCUGGCAUUUCCUCCGAA